rnacentral:rRNA from 1 species
GAUAAACGCUGGCGGCGCACAUAAGACAUGCAAGUUGAACGGACUUAAUCGAAAUAUUUCUAUUUUGAAGCGGUUAGUGGCGGACUGGUGAGUAACGCGUAAGGAACCUGCCUAUUAGAGGGGAAUAACAGUGAGAAAUCAUUGCUAAUACCGCAUAUGCCAUAGAUAUCACAUGAUAACAGUGGGAAAGGAGCAAUCCGCUAAUAGAUGGCCUUGCGUCUGAUUAGAUAGUUGGUGGGGUAACGGCCUACCAAGUCGACGAUCAGUAGCCGGACUGAGAGGUUGAACUGUCACAUUGGGACUGAGAUACGGCUCAGACUUCUUCGGGAGGCAGCAGUCGGGAAUAUUGCGCAAGGGAGGAAACUCUGACGCAGUGACGCCGCGUAUAGGAAGAAGGUUUUCGGAUUGUAAACUAUUGUCGUUAGGGAAGAGAAAGGACAGUACCUAAGGAGGAAGCUCCGGCUAACUACGUG